rnacentral:rRNA from 1 species
AUAGUUUUAUUUUAAUUAAGAAAUUUAAUUAAAUAAAAUUUUACAUAUAAAAUUUUUUGUUUUUUAAUUAAUUUUAAAUAAAUUUUUUUAGUUAAAUUUAUUAAAUUAAAAAUAGUAGUAAUUAGUAUUAUUAUUUUAAUUUAUGUUAAAAUGUAGUUAUUAUUUAAAAGUAUUGAUUAAAUUUGUGCCAGCAAUCGCGGUUAUACAAAUAUUAUAAUUAAAUUUUUUUUAAUAGAAGUUAAAAUUUUAAAUUAUAUUUUAUUUUAAAAUAAUAAUAAAUUUUUAGGUGAAAUUUAAAAUUUUAUUAUAAUUUUAAAAUUUAUAAAAUUUUGAAUCUUGGAAAAUUUAAGUAAAAACUAGGAUUAGAUACCCUAUUAUUUAAAAAGUAAAAUAAUUGAAUUAAAUUAAGGUAGUAAAAAUUAAAUUUUUAAAACUUAAUAAAUUUGGCGGUAUUUUAUUCUGUUUAGAGGAAUUUGUCCUAUAAUCGAUAAUCCACGAAUAUUUUACUUUUUUUUGUUUUCAGUUUAUAUAUCGUUGUCAUCAGAAUAUUUUAAAAGAAUAAAAAAUUUUCUAAAUUUUAAAUUUAAAAUUAUGUCAAAUCAAGGUAUAAUUAAUAAAAAAGAAGAGAUGAGUUACAAUAAAGUUUAUUUAUAAUGAAUAAAAUAAUAAAAAUUAGAUUUGAAAGUGGAUUUAAAAGUAAAUUAAUUUAUAAAAAUUGAUUGAUUAAAGUUUUAAAAUAUGCACAUAUCGCCCGUCGCUCUCGUUAUAUUUAAAUGAGAUAAGUCGUAACAUAGUAGAUGUAUUGGAAAAUGUAUCUAGAAAUA